UAGGGAAUCUUCCGCAAUGGACGCAAGUCUGACGGAGCAACGCCGCGUGAGUGAUGAAUGUCUUCGGAUUGUAACCCUCUGUUGGUUAGCCAAGAACAAGUACCGUUCGAAUAGGUCGGUACCUUGACGGUACCUAACCAGAAAGCCCCGGCUAACUACGUG
rnacentral:rRNA from 1 species